rnacentral:rRNA from 1 species
CCUACGGGUGGCUGCAGUGAGGAAUAUUGGUCAAUGGACGAGAGUCUGAACCAGCCAAGUAGCGUGAAGGAUGACUGCCCUAUGGGUUGUAAACUUCUUUUAUAUGGGAAUAAAAUCUUCCACGGGUGGGAUUUUGUAUGUACCAUAUGAAUAAGAAUCGGGAAAAUCCGGGCCAGUAGCAGCGGUAAUACGGAGGAACGGAGCGUUAUCCGGAUUUAAUUGGUCUAAAGGGAGCGUAGGUGGAUUGUUAAGGCAGUUGUGAAAGUUUGCGGCUCAAACGUAACAUUGCAGUUGAAACUGGUAGUCUUGAGUGCAGUAGAGGUGUGUGGAAUUCGAGGUGUAGCGGUGAAAUGCUUAGAUAUAACGAAGAACACCGGUUGCGAAGGCA